GCUGGGCGUAGUAGCGCAUGCCUGUAGUCCCAGCUACUUGGGAGGCUGAGGCAGGAGAAUCGCUUGAACCUGGGAGACAGAGGUUGCAGUGAACCGAGAUCACAUCACUGCACUCCAGCCCAGGUGACAGAGCAAGACUCUGUCUCAA
rnacentral:SRP_RNA from 1 species